UACGUAGGGUGCGAGCGUUAAUCGGAAUUACUGGGCGUAAAGCGUGCGCAGGCGGUUCGUUAAGUCAGAUGUGAAAGCCCCGGGCUCAACCUGGGAACUGCAUUUGAAACUGGCGGGCUUGAGUGUGGCAGAGGGGGGUGGAAUUCCGCGCGUAGCAGUGAAAUGCGUAGAGAUGCGGAGGAACACCGAUGGCGAAGGCAGCCCCCUGGGCCAACACUGACGCUCAGGCACGAAAGCGUGGGGAGCAAACAGG
rnacentral:rRNA from 1 species